rnacentral:misc_RNA from 1 species
ACUUUAUUGCAUGUAUUAAUAGGAUCCUUCACAAUUGUGCUUGAAAUUGAUACGUACAACACAGAGCUUCCUUCAUAAACUCUGAUUUAAUACCCGGGAAAAAAGAUAAACAGAGAACCCGGUUUAUAUUUGGAUUUUUGUUCUACUUUCUAGAUUUUUCAAUUUUCGCUAUAAAAUUAUUGGAUACGCAUAUUAAUACAUGCAAUAAAGUACUUAGCCUAGCUGAGAUUCUGAUUAGCCGUUCGGAUGAUCAGUCACCGGAGGCCGUACGCGCCGGUUCGUAAACCAAGCUUUCUAGCUGGGGCCUUAAUUUGUCUUUCCAAAUUUCUUGGCCUGGUCUCGCGUUCAUCUCCUUUCCUUUCACCUCCACCACAACCAAUUGCUCCGUUAAUUGGUAAAUUUCGAUGGCCAUGACAAAAGUCCCAUCAAAUCCUUCCAAUUUCGCUCCCCAAUCUCUGUUCUUCGUCACUUUCAUGUUUUCUGCCCCGGCAAUUUCUUCCACUCUGUCUAUUAUCUUCGCAGGCGACUUGGAAGACACAAACCGUUCGUUGCUAGCCGAAAUAUCGCAGUCAUUGAACAAACAGGAUAAAUCAAAACCUGACGAGAAGGAGAUUAUGUGAAAAGCGUUCAAGCUUUUGUGGUUUCCUUGCCUCUUCAAAUCAGAAUCCUCCAAGUGGAACUUUAUACCUUUGUAAUCCUUUUUGAACCAUGGGUCCUGAAGAAUCUCAUCGACGGUUAUCCGAGUCCCAGGAUUUGUAUCUAGAAGCCGAGACAGGAACCGCCGUAGAUCCGGAGACGUCCAUUUUGGAAAUUUGAACUGACCUCUGUAAAUCUUCCGAUACAUAGCCAUUAGGUUAGUAUCAUUGAACGGUAAAUAACCGGCGAUGAGAACGUAUAAAAUGACGCCGCAUGACCAAACAUCUACCUUAGCACCAUCAUAGCCUUUCUUACCGAGAAUCUCUGGUGCAACGUAAGCUGGAGUCCCGCACAGAGUAUGGAGAAGACCGUCCGAUUGGAUCUGAUCCUUGACGGCGCUGAGACCGAAAUCGGUAACUUUGAGGUCCCAAUUCUCGUCGAGGAGGAGAUUCUCGGGUUUCAAAUCGCGGUGAAACACACCUCUGGCAUGACAAUAUCCUACGGCUGUGAUAAGCUGCUGAAAAUACCGACGGCUGAGAUCUUCGCUGAAGCGUCCCUUUGCAACCUUGGCGAAAAGCUCACCACCUUUGGCGAACUCCAUCACGAAGUAAAUCUUGGUUUUAGUGGCCAAAACCUCCAACAGCUUCACGACGUGAGGGUGGUGCAAUCGGCGCAUGAUAGAAAUCUCCCUCUUAACCUGCCCUAUAAAGCCUCCCUUGACGACUUUCUGCUUGCUGACGGCCUUAAUGGCCACGCUUUGGCCGGUACUGACAUUUCUUGCAUGGUAAACCUUGGCGAAGGCUCCACUACCCAGCAACUUACCCAACUCGUAUUUGUCAAAUAAAUUAGUAUCCGGCGUAAUUUCUGCGAUUGCCGGUGAAGGGUUGCUGGGAUCCUCCGCCAUAUCUGAGUUGUCAGGCGGAACAAAUUUCAGUCUGCAUUAAUGUUAGCAGAAAAAGAACCAGCAGG